UACGAAGGGGGCUAGCGUUGUUCGGAUUCAUUGGGCGUAAAGGGUGCGUAGGUGGCGCUGUAAGUCAGGUGUGAAAUUUCGGAGCUUAACUCCGAAACUGCAUUUGAUACUGCGGUGCUUGAGGACUGGAGAGGAGACUGGAAUUUACGGUGUAGCAGUGAAAUGCGUAGAGAUCGUAAGGAAGACCAGUGGCGAAGGCGGGAUCUCUGGACAGUUCCUGACACUGAGGCACGAAGGCCAGGGGAGCAAACGGG
rnacentral:rRNA from 1 species